UAUGUUUAAAUUACUCCCUUUAGUAAACCAUCUUCUCUUACCAUUACCUUUCACUGUUUACAUAUUAAAGUUUUGUAAUUAGUAUACAACUAUAGUCUUAAUUAUUUCUGUAUUACCACCUUUAUUUAAAAUAGCUAACUCUUGUUUUCUUCAGACACGGAGAAAACUUGAAAGAAGACAGGAGUCCAAGGACUGCCUAGAUGAUAUUUUACAAGUAUACACUUCAGAUUACCUUAUUGAUGUUAAGAUAACAAAACAAAUAUGUAUUAAAAAUCAGCCAAAACUUUGGACAUUCUGCUAAUAUGUAAAUCAUUUGAUAAUGCAUAAGAAUAGGAAAAAAUUGAAAUGUGUUUAUGACUAAAGUUUUAUAUUUGUAGUUAUGUUAAAAUAUAUUGUUAAAUAUGUUAAAAUUAUUUCAAUUAUUUCAUUUUUUCCCCUUUGAGAGGUAAAGCCUAAUGCUUCUCCCCUUGAAUAUGGGCUAGACUUAUGAGCACAUUUCUAAUGAACAGAGAAAGUGGAUGUGAUAGUGUGUGUCUUAGAAGACUAGAUAAUAUCAGAGAUGAACAUGAUGGUGAAAAAAAUAAAAGAAGAAAGCUAGGUAAUACAAGGCACCAUUGUUUCCUCCUCUUCCUCCUCCUCCACCUCUUUAACUCUCUCUCCCUCUCUCUCUCUGAUCAACAGCUCUAGCAAAAGCCACCUGCUGUGUGGUGAGGACUUUCAGGCAGCUUUGUGGGGAGCUACAUGUGGCAAGGAACUGACAGGCCUUCAGCCAAAGGCACAUGACUGAGUCAUCUUGGAAGUGAACCUUCCACCUAUGAGAUGACUCUAGUCCUGGCUGACAUCUUGACUGCAACCUGCAAGCCUUUAGGAGGGCUCCAGAAACCAGCAGUAACCCAGGCAAGUGCCAAACCAAGAACAGCUGCAUUCGAAUGGAUGAGAAAAGAUGUUGUAUUGUACCCAUGAUAUAGCCCUUUUCUCAAGUGGGCAUAGUUUGGUUUGAUCAGGAGAAAAUGUUUAACUCUUGGCUUCUCCCUCAGGAAUAGAAGUUAAGAAGGGAACCUAAGGCUAACAUUCUGGCUUUUCAGGGGGCGACCUGAGGGACCGAACUGCGUGUUGUAUGACGUGGAGUGCUGACCGAAAAUCCCCCUACUUUUAAAAACUGGGGGCCAUGGAGAACAAAGAAGAAUUCAGUACCUUGUCGCGGUACCAGAGAGCCUGCAGUAGUGCAGGCAGGCACCAGAAGGAGCAAGAGAUUAUGAGAAUCUGAAAAAGUGGCAAACCUCUGGAACUAGAAAAUGACAUGCACAAGACCAGAGAAGAUGUGUCCCCACAAAGGUUAGAGAGGCCCCCAGAAUAUCUAGCAAGGCCCAUUGGUGCAAUUCUGCCCCGUAUGAAGCCGGGGAAUGAAUCUCCAGAAACUGACCCUAAUGUCCAUGGAGAAUGUGAACAGAACUAAUGAGGCGUCAAGAAGAACUCAGACGCUUGGAAGAACUCUGAAACCAGGAGUUGCAAAAACAGAAGCAAAUACAACUAAGUUUCAGACAUGAAGAGGAGCAUCGGCGGCGUGAGGAAGAAAUGAUCUGACACAGAGAACAGAAGGAACUGAGGCCACAGCAAGAGGGCUUUAAGCCAAACUACAUG